UAGAGUUUGAUCCUGGCUCAGGAUGAACUCUAGCUACAGGCUUAACACAUGCAAGUCGAGGGGCAGCAUUAUCGGAGCUUGCUUUGAUAGAUGGCGACCGGCGCACGGGUGAGUAACGCGUAUCCAACCUUCCCCUUAGUAGAGGAUAGCCCGGCGAAAGUCGGAUUAAUACUCUAUGUUGUAUUUUGAGGACAUCUGACGAAUACCAAAGAUUUAUCGCUAAGGGAUGGGGAUGCGUCUGAUUAGCUUGUCGGCGGGGUAACGGCCCACCGAGGCGACGAUCAGUAGGGGUUCUGAGAGGAAGGUCCCCCACAUUGGUACUGAGACACGGACCAAACUCCUACGGGAGGCAGCAGUGAGGAAUAUUGGUCAAUGGGCGUAGGCCUGAACCAGCCAAGUAGCGUGCAGGAUGACUGCCCUAUGGGUCGUAAACUGCUUUUAUGCGGGAAUAAAGUCAGGUACGGGUACCUGUUUGCAUGUACCGCAUGAAUAAGGACCGGCUAAUUCCGUGCCAGCAGCCGCGGUAAUACGGAAGGUCCGGGCGUUAUCCGGAUUUAUUGGGUUUAAAGGGAGCGCAGGCGGAGGAUUAAGCGUGACGUGAAAUGUCCCGGCUCAACCGUGGAACUGCGUCGCGAACUGGUUUUCUUGAGUGAGUGCGACGUCGGCGGAAUUCGUGGUGUAGCGGUGAAAUGCUUAGAUAUCACGAAGAACCCCGAUUGCGAAGGCAGCCGACGAGUCCUUAACUGACGCUAAAGCUCGAAAGUGCGGGUAUCGAACAGGAUUAGAUACCCUGGUAGUCCGCACGGUAAACGAUGGAUGCCCCCUGUCUGCCAUACACUGGAAGCCGCCAAAAAAAAAUCUUAAGCCUCCGCACCCGGGGGGGCCCCCCGGCAAACGGUAAAACUCAAAGAAAUGGACGGGGGCCCGCACAACCCGAGAAACUUUUGGUU
rnacentral:rRNA from 1 species